rnacentral:rRNA from 1 species
UACGUAGGGUGCAAGCGUUAAUCGGAAUUAUUGGGCGUAAAGCGUGCGUAGGCGGCUUUGUAAGACAGAUGUGAAAUCCCCGGGCUUAACCUGGGAACUGCAUUUGUGACUGCAUGGCUAGAGUGCGGCAGAGGGGGCUGGAAUUCCGCGUGUAGCAGUGAAAUGCGUAGAUAUGCGGAGGAACACCGAUGGCGAAGGCAAUCCCCUGGGCCUGCACUGACGCUCAGGCACGAAGGUCAGGGGAGCAAACGGG